GUGAAAUUGAUUUUAGGGCUUCUGUUCGUUUGGUGCUAUAACUUCAGUUUGGAAGUUGGGUGAAAUCAGAUUCCUGGUUGUUGCUUGCUUGAUUGCUUCUAGGGGAUUGUUGGUUGCUUGCUAGUUUAGUAUUUGAGCUUGGUGGUUGCUUGUUGUUGCUUGUUGUUUGUCGAUUUCAGCUUCUUACUUGCUGGUUUAGUAUUUGAGUUGUCUUCUCCGGCGCUCGUUACCCCAGACCGAGCAGCACACAGCCACCGCCACGAUCCCAUUCUCCGUCGCUCGUGACCCGAGACCGAGCGAAACACCGCACCGCCACGAGAUCUUGAUGUGAUAUAAUGGCAAGAAAGAGUUUUUAUGUUGUAAAGAGAGGUCGACGUUGUGGUAUUUUUUAUAAUUGGGAGGAAUGUUUUUCUCAAGUUGAUAGAUUCCCAAAUGCCUCCUACAAAGGGUAUGCAACGUAUGAAGAGGCUUUGAGUGAAUGGGAGAAGCACUUAAGCGCGCGUGAUUCAUCAUCCAGCUCAAGGCAUAUGCAGCCACAUGUUUGUGUUCAAGAACAAAUGUUUCCAGAGGGGCAUAAUCUUCUUGAGGACAAGGGAACACCUAGGGAAACUGCUAUUAAGUACAUCUUUGCUUUUGU